AAUGGUCCAAUGGUUAGGAUGCUUGCCUUCCAAGCAAGUGGUCCGGGUUCAAUUCCCGGUUG
rnacentral:tRNA from 1 species